rnacentral:tRNA from 1 species
UCUAACGUGGCAGAUAAGUGCAUUGGAUUUAAGCUCCACAAAUAAAGUUGUUUUUAAACUUUCAUUAGAA